UCCGUCUUGUCACCGGCAGUCUCAUUAGAGUGCCCUUGCGUAGCAACUAAUGAUAAGGGUUGCGCUCGUUGCGGGACUUAACCCAACAUUUCACAACACGAGCUGACGACAGCCAUGCACCACCUGUGUAUCGCCCUCGAAGGCGACUACUUUUCGGUAGCUUGCAGAUACAUGUCAAGCCCUGGUAAGGUUCUUCGCGUUGCAUCGAAUUAAGCCAUAUGCUCCACCGCUUGUGCGGGCCCCCGCCAAUUCCUUUGAGUUUUAAGCUUGCGCUCGUAGUUCCCAGGCGGAUCACUUAAUGCGUUAGCUGCGGCACCGAGGCAAAGCCCCAACACCUAGUGAUCAUCGUUUACGGCGUGGACUAC
rnacentral:misc_RNA from 1 species